rnacentral:tRNA from 1 species
AAGUACUUAAUCUAACCAAGAUAAUUGAUUUCGACUCAAUCAAUCAUGGUAUCAACCCAUGAGUACCUU